rnacentral:rRNA from 1 species
AUUGAACGCUAGCGGCAUGCUUUACACAUGCAAGUCGAACGAGUGGCGGACGGGUGAGUAAUAUCUCGGAACGUGCCCAGUAGCGGGGGAUAACUACUCGAAACGGUGGCUAAUACCGCAUACUAUUGGAGCGGCCCAUAUCGGAUUAGCUAGUUGGUGGGGUAACGGCUCACCAAGGCAACGAUCCGUAGCUGGUCUGAGAGGAUGACCAGCCACACUGGGACUGAGACACGGCCCAGACUCCUACGGGAGGAAGCAGUGGGGAAUUUUGGACAAUGGGGGAAACCCUGAUCCAGCCAUCCCGCGUGUAUGAGAAGGCCUUCGGGUUGUAAAGUACUUUUGGCAGAGAAGCGGUAUCUGCAGAAUAAGCACCGGCUAACUACGUGCCAGCAGCCGCGGUAAUUC